CGUCUCCCCGCUGCUCUCGUGCCUACCUGUCCGCUGCCCACCGCACUCCUCCGUUGUUCCUGGACCCACCAAGAACCGAGACCCCGGACAUACUCGGUUUCCCCUCCAAGACUCUGUUCAUCAGCAACAAUGAACCAUUGUUGCCGUCCCUGUUUUUGCCCCUGGACCAGACCAUCCUGAUUCUCACUGAUAAUUGUGUGAUCUUUAUUAAAUCAUUUAACACUGA